rnacentral:rRNA from 1 species
CUCAGGAUGAACGCUAGCUACAGGCUUAACACAUGCAAGUCGAGGGGCAGCAUGAACUUAGCUUGCUAAGUUUGAUGGCGAACCGGCGCACGGGUGAGUAACGCGUAUCCAACCUGCCUUAUACAGGGGGAUAACAGUUGGAAACGACUGCUAAUACCGCAUAAGCGCACGGUAUCGCAUGAUACAGUGUGAAAAACUCCGGUGGUAUAAGAUGGACCCGCGUCUGAUUAGCUUGUUGGUGAGGUAACGGCCCACCAAGGCGACGAUCAGUAGCCGGCCUGAGAGGGUGAAACGGCCACAUUGGGACUGAGACACGGCCCCAAACUCCUACGGGAGGCAGCAGUGGGGAAUAUUGCACAAUGGGGGAAACCCUGAUGCAGCGACGCCGCGUGAGUGAUGAAGUAUUUCGGUAUGUAAAACUCUAUCAGCAGGGAAGAUAAUGACGGUACCUGACUAAGAAGCACCGGCUAAAUACGUG